ACUACGGAUUCCAUAAAGAAGCAGAUGCAUUCAGUUAGGUCCAGUCUGUUAAAAAUGAAGAAUGUUAGAAUGUGCACUAUUGAGCACAAAGGAGGAGGAGGGUUCAGUGAGGAGUUUUGGGGAAAGCUGAAAUGUCAAAGGCUGAUGAAUUUUACUGGGCAAUAGCACCCGCCAAGACUGAGAGGAGUGAAACAGCACAACCUGGGUGAAGAACUUCAGACCAUUUGGUCUUUCAAGAGCAAAGGGUGACACUGGACAUACUGGAGAAGUAUGAUUAUAAGGCAUGUCAAAGAGUGGGGACAUAAACCAGACAUGGGAGAGAGAAGCUGUCUCCUCUGCAGGGAUAAACAGUAUUGCUGCUCUGAAGACAGCU
rnacentral:lncRNA from 1 species